UGGGGAAUAUUGCACAAUGGGGGAAACCCUGAUGCAGCGACGCCGCGUGAGCGAAGAAGGUUUUCGAAUCGUAAAGCUCUGUCCUAUGAGAAGAUAAUGACGGUAUCAUAGGAGGAAGCCCCGGCUAAAUACGUGCCAGCAGCCGCGGUAAUACGUAGGGGGCUAGCGUUAUCCGGAUUUACUGGGCGUAAAGGGUGCGUAGGUGGUCUUUCAAGUCGGUGGUUAAAUGCUACGGCUCAACCGUAGUUAGCCUCCGAAACUGGAAGACUUGAGUGCAGGAGAGGAAAGUGGAAUUCCCAGUGUAGCGGUGAAAUGCGUAGAUAUUGGGAGGAACACCAGUAGCGAAGGCGGCUUUCUGGACUGCAACUGACACUGAGGCACGAAAGCGUGGGUAGCAAACAGG
rnacentral:rRNA from 1 species